UGGGGAAUAUUGCACAAUGGGGGAAAACCCGUGAUGCAGCGACGCCGCGUGAAGGAAGAAGUAUCUCGGUAUGUAAACUUCUAUCAGCAGGGAAGAUAGUGACGGUACCUGACUAAGAAGCCCCGGCUAACUACGUGCC
rnacentral:rRNA from 1 species